GAUGAACGCUAGCUACAGGCUUAACACAUGCAAGUCGAGGGGAAACGACAUCGAAAGCUUGCUUUUGAUGGGCGUCGACCGGCGCACGGGUGAGUAACGCGUAUCCAACCUGCCCAUCACUUGGGAAUAACCUUGCGAAAGUAAGACUAAUACCCAAUGAUAUCCCACGAAGGCAUCGGAAUGGGAUUAAAGAUUUAUCGGUGAUGGAUGGGGAUGCGUCUGAUUAGCUUGUUGGCGGGGUAACGGCCCACCAAGGCAACGAUCAGUAGGGGUUCUGAGAGGAAGGUCCCCCACAUUGGAACUGAGACACGGUCCAAACUCCUACGGGAGGCAGCAGUGAGGAAUAUUGGUCAAUGGGCGAGAGCCUGAACCAGCCAAGUAGCGUGCAGGAAGACGGCCCUAUGGGUUGUAAACUGCUUUUAUAAGGGAAUAAAGUGGGUCACGUGUGACUUUUUGCAUGUACCUUGUGAAUAAGGACCGGCUAAUUCCGUG
rnacentral:rRNA from 1 species